UGAUAACUCGUAGCAAAUGUCCCAUCUUACGAGCUAGGGUUAGAAAGAUUUUGAAUCGUUAGAUUUUUCCAAUUUGGUCCAACCAAAGGAUUCCAUCUCCACAGGAAAGUUCAUUACAACACAUCCAAAUGAUGUCUACGAACAAGAUGCCGGUGCUCUGUAAAUUUGGGGGCAACUUCAUUUCGGAAUCAAAUAAAGUUUAUUACAAGGGAGGCACAAACCGCAUUGUUCAUGUCGAUUAAGGGAUUGAUUACAUCGAUCUUGUAUCUAAAGUGCAUGGGAUUUGCAAGUUUACCGACAUUAGCAACGUCAAGCACAAAUAUCCUGGUCUAGAUUUGGAUUCACUAGUGUCGAUUGAGAAUGAUGAUGACGUAUCCAAUAUGAUGGAAGCAUUUCCUCAAAGCAGUGAGCCUAUUCAGCUCUUCGUUUUUUGUGGUCAAAACCUUUCAAUCCCCACUGCGAAUCCCAUUUUUCUGAUGUAGAAUGCUGAUAAUGAAAAUAAUCAAGCAUCAUUGCGGAAUUUACAUGAAAGUAAUGGAACACCUGCACCUUUCUCACAUAAUACCAUUGUCAAUAACAAUAAUGUUCCAAGUGCAUCAAAUGAUUUACGUAAAGUGGACUGCUUGUUGAUGGAUAAUCGAGAAUUACGUUAUGGGGCGGUUGGUAGUUGUGUUAAUGAGAUGCUGAAAAUUAUGUCGGUUUUAAAAGAAGGCCAAGAAUUUGAAGAUGCAAUAGCUUUCCACAAGGCUUUAAGGGAGUACACCAUACGUUCAAAUUUUGAAUACAAGCGAACCAGGUCGGGCGGUGGCCAUUAUCAGGUGGAAUGCAUUAAAGACAAUUGCUCAUGGUGCAUACAUGC